ensembl:lncRNA
ACAAAAGUCUGACUCAAACGUCGACUAUCAAAAACGUCAGAAUCCGGGGUAUAGGAAGGCUGGUCAGGUGGUGGUGGUGGUGGUGGUGGGGUAUAGGAAGGCAGGUCAGGUGGUGGUGGGGUAUAGGAAGGCAGGUCAGGGGGUGGUGGUGGGGUAUAGGAAGGCAGGUCAGGUGGUGGUGGUGGUGGGGUAUAGGAAGGCAGGUCAGGUGGUGGUGGUGGUGGUGGGGUAUAGGAAGGCAGGUCAGGUGGUGGUGGUGGGUAUCUUCAUCAAGCAACGGUGUAAAAGAUGUUUUAAGGCUGCUCAUAAUAGGCCUAUAGGAGAGAGGUAUUUUCCGACAUUGUGAUAUAAUGUGGGGGUUUAGGAAGCCAUGGUGCUUUGAAACGUUCUACUUUAGCCCCGCCUUUUUAUUGCUGCAUAGA